rnacentral:rRNA from 1 species
AGUACCGUCAGCCCUAGACACGUCCAGGGGUUUCUUCCUAUACAAAAGCAGUUUACAACCCAGAGGGCCUUCGUCCUGCACGCGGCAUGGCUGGUUCAGACUUGCGUCCAUUGACCAAUAUUCCCUACUGCUGCCUCCCGUAG